AAUUGACUUUGAAACUGCGAAUGGCUCAUUAUAUCAGUUAUAGUUUAUUUGGUGAAGGAUACUAAUUGGAUAACCGUAGUAAUUCUAGGGCUAAUACAUGAGUAAAGUCCCAUUGGGAUGUGUUUAUUAGAAUGAAAACCAUAUGCUUCGGCAUGAUAGUGAGUAAUAGUAACCUAUCGUAUCGCAUGCUUAAAGUAGCGAUGAGUCUUUCAAGUUUCUGCCCUAUCAGCUUUCGAUGGUAGCAUAUGGGUCUACCAUGGCAGUAACGGGUAACGAAGAAUUUGGGUUCGAUUUCGGAGAGGGAGCC
rnacentral:rRNA from 1 species